CCUACGGGAGGCAGCAGUGAGGAAUAUUGGUCAAUGGACGAGAGUCUGAACCAGCCAAGUAGCGUGAAGGAUGACUGCCCUAUGGGUUGUAAACUUCUUUUAUAAAGGAAUAAAACGAGGCACGUAUGCCUUUUUGCAUGUACUUUAUGAAUAAGGAUCGGCUAACCCCGUGCCAGCAGCCGCGGUAAUACGGAGGAUCCGAGCGUUAUCCGGAUUUAUUGGGUUUAAAGGGAGCGUAGAUGGGUUGUUAAGUCAGUUGUGAAAGUUUGCGGCUCAACCGUAAAAUUGCAAUUGAUACUGGCAGUCUUGAGUACAGGUGAGGUAGGCGGAAUGCGUGGUGUAGCAGUGAAAUGCUUAGAUAUCACGAAGAACCCCGAUUGCGAAGGCAGCUUACUAAACUGUGACUGACAUUGAUGCUCGAAAGUGUGGGUAUCAAACAGGAUUAGAUACCCGUGUAGUC
rnacentral:rRNA from 1 species